rnacentral:rRNA from 1 species
GAUGAACGCUGGCGGCGUGCCUAAUACAUGCAAGUCGAGCGAACAGAUGAGGAGCUUGCUCCUCUGACGUUAGCGGCGGACGGGUGAGUAACACGUGGAUAACCUACCUAUAAGACUGGAAUAACUUCGGGAAACCGGAGCUAAUACCGGAUAAUAUAUUGAACCGCAUGGUUCAAUAGUGAAAGACGGUUUUGCUGUCACUUAUAGAUGGAUCCGCGCCGCAUUAGCUAGUUGGUAAGGUAACGGCUUACCAAGGCAACGAUGCGUAGCCGACCUGAGAGCGUGAUCGGCCACACUGGAACUGAGACACGGUCCAGACUCCUACGGGAGGAAGCAGUAGGGAAUCUUCCGCAAUGGGCGAAAGCCUGACGGAGCAACGCCGCGUGAGUGAUGAAGGUCUUCGGAUCGUAAAACUCUGUUAUUAGGGAAGAACAAAUGUGUAAGUAACUAUGCACGUCUUGACGGUACCUAAUCAGAAAGCCACGGCUAACUACGUG